ensembl:lncRNA
GCAGCGCAGAGACUAUUCUCUUUCCACACGGAUAUUCUGAAAUAGACCAGCAGGGGUAACUUGUAGUGGUAUAAUCGACAUAAACUCAUGUUCAGUCUCGUACCCAUCACACUGGCAAGACUUUUUGAAUAUCCCCAUGUAUUUCUUCCACUCUGAAAAAAAAAAUUGUGCAAGCAAAACAAGCUGAAUGUCAUUUUGAUUGGAACUUCACUUCGGGGCCACCUGAGGGUUAUGAUACUUUCAUUAUUCUUUGGGUCUCUCCUCUGGGUCUCCUUCCUGCCAGCCUUUCUUGCUUCAUGUCUAUUGAAAGACACCUGAGUAGCAUGUUUUCUCGCUCUCUCUCUCUCUGCCGAGGAGCAGCUCAACUUGCAGAUCCUCCUGAAUAUCUCAGGGUCUCUGCCUCUCACAGAGAUUGUGUCAGCAACCUGCGGAGGGGCCCUGCUAUGACAGCUUGUGUCUUUUUUCUCAUUCUUUGAGUCACUAUUGACCCGUAAGUGAGGUUUGACAGGGAGACCUAACACUGAGGAUAUUUAUGGAGAGCUCAAUGGAUCAGCUCUUUAUUUACCUGCGCAAGGCCGAUACAGGACUGGCGUUACUGGAGUCUUUACACCUUACCAGCAGUCGAUCAUAACAGCCCUUUUACACUCAUGUCACAUGAAUGGGCUGCUGGGCUGACGGGACACAGCAUCCUGGAUAGGAGAGUAUGCUGCUGCAUUGAAAUGGAGCAUUUUAAUUAACAGCCUGACAUGACUUUUAAUACAAUUAAAGAUGAGGUACAGUAGUAAUAGAAAAAGGUGCAUCUUGCUCAUUCAUGCUUUUUAGUGCUUUACUACUAAACGUACCACUCUGUGUGCUUACAAAGUCAUUUUAGAAGUUCUGCCGUAUGACCGUCAGGCAGUGUUGGAUUUUAGCAGCCUUUCCAAGCUAAUUACUAACUGGAACACCAAAUGCUAUGUUCUUGAAAUCUAUGUGACACUGAUAGGAUGUGUGCCACCAAUUUCAAGAGCCGUUCCAGGACAGAUAUCGUGUGGAUAAGGAUGCAAAUUGCAAGGUUAGGGAGGGAAAGCUCUAUUAUCUAUCUAUCUGUUCUUUUAGAUAAGUGAGAGUGAGAGUGAGAGGAAGAGAGAGAAACAGAAACUAAGAAAAUUACAAACAACCUGGCUGUAAAGAACAGCGUUGCUGGUAAUCGAGGGAGCGGGAAGGAAAUAACCGCCUACAACAAUCUGGAAAUAAGCAAUGAACUGGGAGAGAGGUGGUGUGGUCAAAGGGUGCCAAUAAUGAACACCAAAUGGGACAGGAUCAAUAAACAGUUGCGCAUUUGUUACGCUUUGACACCGUGUGCUUUUGUGCAUUUUUAUGAGUGUCUUUUUUUCUGCAUGUGUGUGUUCAUCUGGUACGGAUGCACAUUUUAGAAGAGAGGCCAUCAAAGAUUUUACAUAGCUCACUGUACUUCAUUUUUCUCAAACAAAACCAAAUUAAAAAUUGAUUUUUUUUCAUGCUGUAUAUGCAAUCAUAUUGUGUGUGUGUGUGUGUGUGUGUGUGUGUGUGUGUGUUAGUCAACCCGCUAAUAGUUUUCAAAGGACAAAUAGCCUUAAAGCAUGCGGAAACAUCUUUUCUUCAAUAAUACCCAUUUAUAUUAUAGCAACAGCAACAGCCUGGUGCAUAUUGCACGUGGUGUCCAUGCCUUGUGAUAGGUCAAUACAUAUCCCAUUUGUAUUUGAUUAUAUGAAAGCAAUAUGAUGUAUUCCAAGUGACUGAUUCUUUGUACCACCAGAAGAUGGCAGUAAAGCCUUUUCUCACAGAGCAAUCGGCGCUGCUCUUGUUUCAUUGCGGACAGGGUACGUGGCCUAAAAAGAGAGGGCUCUUUAAUAACAUUGCCACCUAGCAGAAUUUGUGACCCUGAAAUGUAUUUUUUUUUCCUUUUCGGUUUGGGAGUUCAGUGUCCAGCCAAGGUACCUUUUGACAGACAGACGUUGGGAUCACACCGUCGACCUCAUGGUUGACCCACUCAAACUGAGCUACAAGAACCCUGGAGCAGAGGAUUUCUUUGUCGCUCUCCGCCAUCUGAUCAAACUAAUUCUAAUUAAUACCAAUAACAUUUAUGUCAUAUAGUAAGGUUAGCGUGAUCUAUCUGACGAGGGUGCAGCAUUAAUUCUUCUAAAUCACUGAAUCAGAAAAUGUAAAAACAUGAAUACGUCAGCUUUUUUCUUUUACAUCUAGCUCUAGAUGAUUUAUUUGAUAUAGUCCAAAUUGUCAUUUUCAUGGCUAUUUUAUGAUUUGCGUAAAAUGCUUAACAUGCGCUUGUUUCAUUUCACAGCCAAAUCUCUCUCUUUUGGACAUUAGGGUUGUGCAAAUGUAAUUCUGGAGGUAGACAAAUAACACGUGUUUAAUACUAUCACCAUAGCAACAGCUCACAGUAGGGUAGAGCAAUCACUCACUAAAAAUACUCCCACUCACAAAAACAAACACUCCUUGAAAAAAACAAAAAACAGUAUACUUCAGAUGUAGUGUAACAGCCAUUAGGGAGCUCUAGUAGAUUGGUUAAUUGGAUGCAAUUGAUGUUUUGUUGAUGUUUUCUAAGUAGUGAGGUGUUCUAAUAGUCUCGAUAUGUGUUUAUGUGCACUUGCAGGGACGUGGCCCCACAGUGCAGGUUAGCUCAACGGAUAUGUUUGAGCAUUUGAUUCAUUAGCACUAACAGGGAAACCACAGAUACUGCGCUUACUGCUUUAACAGGCGCUAUCACCACAUGCCCGGUUAUAACCUUUAUGUGAAACUAUGAUUACAGCAGCGCCAAGUGCGGCGGGGUGGUGUAUUGUUGAGGCAGGUGUAUUAAAUUACAAAAAACAAUGUUGCUGUAUGUUUAUAUUUGUAGUCUCCAUGUCCGACCAUGGAGGUCUUUUAGUGCAUGUUUGUGCGUGUGAUCAUGCUCUACUGGUGCCCAUACAAUUACUCAUCAGGUAACACUGUCAGCUUUAAUUGCCGUAGUUUGUACUUUUAUUGCUGUAAGCACACAGCUGAAACAUGUUAAAAGCCUUUUAGAGGCAGUUAGAUCAUUCUCAAUCUAUGAUGUUUCACUCGAAAGCAUGACUGUAUGAGUUUUGUCAAUAAACCAACAGCCACAAUUUGCUUUUAUUUUAAAUUUCUGUGUUUUUUUUGCAUCUGACCCCUGAGAAUGAAAUCCUUGUCAUUUGUCCUGAUUUCCUGUCUUUCUGUCUUUUAAAAUUAUUAGAAAUGCUGAUGUGAGCCAUCAUCACAUAAACCUCUCUUCUAAAGCUGCUUUAUAAAUAUAACCUGUGUGCAGCUGGAGAAGCCAAAGAAGUGCUAUUGAACAGUUAAUCCCAUAAAACCAACAGAUUACAGAAUAUUCUUUGCCAGUCAAGGCACUAGGCCAUUAGCCCAAAGUGCCCUCUUAGGCUCUCUUCAUGUGCCAAUAACACUCGUCCUUUUAAACCCCUCUCAUUCUUUGAAUAUCUUUCAGUAUUUCUUCCUAUUUUUAAUUUUGAGUACUUUUUUAUUAUGAAGUGAUAAAUCACUCAAUCAUUGCUAUCACCAUUAUUACUUUUCUUAUGAUUCUCAUCCUUAUUUUCUCAGUCCAUUACAAUGGUCUUGUACUUUAGCAAACAUGCUCAACACGUGUAGACCAAACAACUUUGGAAGCCAAUCUCUUUCCUUCUAUCUAUCAUAAGUCUACUGUCAUCCACCAUUAAGCAGUAUUUUGGAAAAUAGUCAAUUUCAGCCGUCACCUUUAGAAGAAACAUGGUUUCUGGUAAACAAGAUCUUCAUUAGCCAAGGAAGAUAAAUGGACAAAGGGGGAGAAACAAGGGAGAGAGAUUUAAAGAGGAGUUGAAUACAGAUAGACCAACUCGUUGCUAUUGAACUAAAUGGAAAUCAGAGAAAUUGAGUAUUUGUCACUCUAAGCCUCUUGGAAAGCCUCUGGUCCUUCAGGAGACUAUAACGUCAUUGGCUUGUCUGCAAGCACAUUUGAUUCUGUAUUAUAUUGUACACAAAUUCUUCACCAAAUGUUAUUGUAACGAUGUUAUCUGGCAGCCCCACACACGUAAUGUUGUGUUAAUCCAGUUCAUCACAGACAUGCUGAAAGCCCUGCUGGUUCCGAUGGAGACAUGUCAUCAUCUGUAUAUACUUGAGUGUGUGUUUUGGUAUUUUGUUUGUGUAUUGGCUUGUGCUUAUUUUGUAGCGCUACGUGAGAGUCCUAGAUAAACAGAAGCAGGUAUUUUAUUGUGACUUUCUCAUUUCUAUACGAGCUAAAAAUCACACUUUAUAAACUCAGCUGUUCCCAUCCCUUCCACUCAGAAUAAAGGGGGAACUUUGGAAUGACCAACAGAGAGAAGAGAAGAGGAGGGUGGACGGCCAGCUUUGCUGAUGGCGGAGGCAGAUAUGUCUUGGGUUAUCUACCAUUCCUGCCUCUGGCAGAGAACUGAAGUACACAUUUACAAUAACACACACACACUGGAGGGGACUAGGUGGUAGCCACUGAUGCCUGGCUGUAUCGAUUAAAAGAAUAACACAGUUAUUUCUGCAGGUGUGUCUCCAGCAGCUAGUCCCCCUGUGGCUGUAGGGGAGAUGACGAGGGGGGCAGGAAAUAGGGAGGAGACCAAGAAAUGCAAAGAUGGACGGAGGAUGUGAAAAGCAGGAUGGAUGGAUCGAUGUAUGGUAAGAGUAAGAGAGGCAAGGGGGAAACCAUGAGGUGGAGGUAAACAAGGGUUAAAAGAGAGAACAAGAGCAGACAAGGAGGCAUGAGGUGAAACAAAGAUGGGGGUUAAAUUGUGGAAGGCGGUGCAGGACAAAAAAAGAGAAGAGAAAGAAACCACCAAAGAUUUAUCCGCCAACACAUUUCCACAUUUAUGGAUUGAAUGCAACUUUUUUUAGAUGCUUCUGAUCAGUGCGGGUGAGGAAACAGUAACUCAACCGCUGUGUGUGUGUGUGUGUGUGUGUGUGUGACUGAUUGAAUUGGAGUGAGUUAUGGAUUUGUGUUUUGCGUAGUAAAUGUGCUACUACGAGCGUGUGGUGUGUUUGUGUGUGUGUGGAUGGGGCAUGUGUGUCCAGGGUAUCUUUCAGUAUAUCUGUGUGUGUGCAGGGUAGCUUUCGGUGUGCAUGGAAGUGUAUGUGUGUGUACUUCCAAAAUUUUCCAGGGGUAAUAGUCAACUGCCAGAGUCGAGCGCUACUGACAGAAUUAUAUUGACGUGAGACAAAAUUUACAACUGCUCUCACCCUCCCCCUCCCUUUUCCCUCACCCUUCUCCAUUCCAGCCACCCUGAUGGGCCAAGGUCGGCCAAUUACCCUUCACUGACCAGCACAGACACACACAAACACACGCACACACAAGAGCAUGUCCCGUCGGCUUGUGUGUGUUUGAGUGUAGUGUCGGGGACAGCGGCUUGGCAUGCUAGAUUCAUGGAAAAUAUGUCAGCCAUCAGCCUGGGCAUUUCAAACAAUGCCUCACAAUGUGCUUGACAGCCCUGAAAAACAGCCUGGUGCUUGGAAACUGCCAGCCCAUCAUCUCAACUCCCUCAUCUGGGCCCUCUGUGGAUCCUCAGUCUCUCUCUCACACUGUUUGUGUGCAUCUCCCAGCAUCUCUCUCAAUAUCUCAUUUUCUCCCCUAAUUCACCCUCCAAGCUCUCAUUUUCUGUCACACACACUCUCCCUCGAAUCCUUCCUCAAUUCUUUCGUAUUAUCAAUCCUCCACCCUCAGACACAUCCCCAAUUUUACAUUUUUCUUCUCCCCCGUUCCACAAAAGCACCUUUUAUUCACAGCUUUUUCCCUUUUCCAUUCCUCCUCCGCUCCUCCAUCUUGUAAAACAGCACCAGAUGCCCCUUAUUAGGAGCUGAGCGGUAGGUCACCUGGUAGUUAAGUACAUAACACACACUUGUGCUGAAAGCCAGCACACACACACACACACACAGGGUAGUUAUGUACAUGAUGGUAUUAUCUGGCCGGGCGGUUAUAUAUCUUGGUGAGACACAAGCCCAUAAAGCUGCAGGGACAUGCAGUCCCCGUCUCUGCUUUUCUCCACCCUCCCUCCCCUCUGGUCACACGCAGUAACAGGCAGCCGUGAUUCACAGCAUUCAAUUUACACGGGCUCGUAACAGGAGGUGAUGGGCUCUUGGAGGUUUUGAGGCGGGCUAUUGGUUCGUUGGUGGGGAGGGGGCAACAGGGAACAUGUGUUUGAGUGAGGAAGGGAAAUUAAAUAGCGAGUUCUCAGCAAGAGCGAUGCUGUAACUGAUUAGAAUCAUGAAGAAUUCAGACACAUGCAUUUCGAUUUAAUGGAAAUUGACAUUUACGUAACUCUGUUGAUCAAAAUGCAACCGCAGUGAUGGUCAGAAGUGUGCGUGUGUGUGUUUGUGCUGACCCUCUUGUGUCUUGUUUGUGCAUCUUUCCAAGUCUGCACACAAGUGCCAACGAGAGCAAUGAGAACAAUCCAUAACAGGCCGACCCCAAUCCCAUUCCCCGUAUGAAUAUGUAUCAUUUGCAAAAACCCUGAUCCGUAUCUGUUUGCUUUAAUUCUGUAAAAGGCAGACCCCCCCCCCCCCCCCCCCCAGGCCAAUUUCCUUUCAUGCAUGCAUAUAUAAACUCAUAAGACUGUUGUGGUUCAACAGCACAUCUGCUGCUGAGAAUUUAUUUGGGAAAAUAUUUUUGGGCACGGUUCUGCUGAAAGGUCUUUUCAGGUUUUACGUGAUAUUUUGUUUAUACCACUCAGAGAAAAUGAUACUUGUUUCUCUUAGAAGAAAAUAAUAAUAUUAACAAUUUACUGUUUUAAAGCCUCCUUAACUCCGUAGAAAGUAAUAAUGCACAUUUAUCAUUGAACCCAAUGUCACAUGUAGCCAGCCAGUGAUUUCCCUGAUAAGAAGAAUAGAAGUAUGACAAUAAUAUGUAAAUGUGGUUAUCCAUUCAUCACUGUAUUGAUUUAACUGCAUUCAGCAUUUGCAUGAAUGCUAAGUGUGUCUGCAGGAUGUAGCCACAUUAUGGAGGCUCAGUGUGGUAGAUUGGCUCCAUCACAGUCUCGGGACAUUUGUUAUGUGAUAUUGCUCCCCUGCCUAUGGGCAUUAAAGUGAUGUGCAUGGUGAGAGGUAGUAAACAAAUAGCUUGGCAUCCAACACGAAAGCCCAAUGGAUUGUCAAAUCAUCUACUUGUAUUUGUGUAUACAUAUAAUUAUGAAUGAUGUGAGCCAUUUAAACACAGUGCAUGCCUGAAUGUAUCCAACGCCAUUUUGUUAUGUGUAAAUAUAAUGAAGUCAUGUGUUUAUUAUCAGCUGGAGGGAUAAAUAUACAGCACACCUGGUCUAGAGAGAUAUGCCAGUCAGUGCUGUGUGUACACCUGUCCCACGUUUUUAUGUUAUUUGGAUAAUUGAUUGCAUGUGUAAAUGUCAAGAGCUUUCCACACAUAUCACUCAGAGGCACAUGGUCUGCUGAAACGGGCCUGAUCUUUUGACAUAUUAGCGUAUGAGAAUGAUGGAUACACUUGUGGGCCCGAUAGUUGACAUUCAUGCUCAGCUGAUAAUUGACGAGCUUCAUUGUGCAUGAAUCUCCCAUUUUCCCAGAGACCGACAGAGCACUGGAGCACUGGGAAACACAGAGGAGAUAUUUAACAUUCAAACUUUAGCAUGUGUGUGUGUUUUAAAUGCUCAGUGACAUCGACUGCGAAUUAUUCAUAUUCAGUGUACGUCUGUGCCAUGCAGGUAAUGGUUUCUGAUGCGCAGCGGUUCAUUGAGAUUCAUCGUGCGCAUGGUCCUGUAGCCGCGGAUCUGUCAAUAGACGGUUGGGGGUGGAAGUGAGGGACGCGGGACGGAGGGAGCGAGAGGGACUGGGGAGCGAUUCGGCGGCCGUCUCUGUCAUUUCUUACGUGGAGAAGGGAGAGCAUGGGGACCCCCCUUCAGUAGUCGAUGGACAGAGCACACACAGAGGCACACAAGGUAGUGGGGACAGUGUCAGUGGCAAACCAUUGAGACAGAGUCCGUAUGAAGGAUACGGGCCCAUCAGGAAUCGCUUAGAACAAAUACAUGUGAGUCACCUCACAAUUUUUGCCCUCUAACCAUUCACAGUCACAUUAGCAGCGAGAGAAGACGGAGAAUGAGGGUCGGAUUAGAAAGGGUGGUGACACCAAACAGAAGAGGAAUGUAUAUGGGGAAAAAUAUAAAGAUCGACUCUGGAAUUGAAAGAGACAUGAAGCAUUCAGCUGUAGGUUGAAACACAAUAAAUACCCCCCGCCCCCCCCCCAAGCCCCUCAAGUUUCUUGCACCCAUACAAUCUUAUAUCCUAUGCCUCAUUGUCUUUAUUCUGAUGUCAGCACCCUUCUCUACAAUAUUUCAAUGCUUCAGAGAUUUGACGACUAAAGCAGCCUUCUAGACGCAUCCACAAACACACGCGGCAGAAGUAGAUUGCAGAUAUAGAACAUCAGCUUUCUUAUGAGGUUAUUGUUUUAGAGCUACUCAUCCCAGAAAGCCAUACUGGGCAGCAUCAAUGUUUAUAUUCUCUUAAAAAGAAGAUUUUGGAGUGCAUCAUAUUUAUGAACAUCUCAGUGGACCCCUUAUAUUAGAGGCUGCUUCAGGUUACAGAUGAGUGAUCACAAGUGGAAUAGAACUGAACAAGACACGGUCAACAGGUGUGAAGUUAGAAUCUUUCUUUCUCUUAUUUCUGCCUACAAUUUACCAGAGUAACAAUGGAUCAAAUGAUCAUGAGUAAUGUGAGAGAGUGGUGACAAACAGAGAGAAUUAUUAACCAUUUUCUCUUAAAUCAAGGGAGGGUUUUAGAAUCAUUAGGCUCAUUGUUUCAGUUUCACAGCUCAUCGUUUUCCCAUUUUGAGUGAGUUCCACCGCUCUUCAACUGAAUUUUCAGAAACAGCAGGCAGCUGAAACUCCUUUAUGUCACAGUGUAAUAAUGCUGUGAAUAAAAUCAGCUCUAGGUAACUACUGAAGCAUGAGUAUCAAAUAAAGACUUUAAAUGCAGGAAUCAUUCAAUAGAAAUAUAAUAUUGAGUAUAUUAACGCAACCAUUAGCUUACUAUGUUGAUUACUUAUGUCUAUAAUAUGUAUGCUCUAUCAUUAACUAUAAUACUACUAACUAUCUAUUUAAGCACACAUUUUGUAGCUUAUUAUUGAAUAAUGGUAACCAUGAUAACAAUAAUCAGAAUAAAACACUUUUCUCAAUAUCUUUUUUUAAAAAUCAUCCAAACAGACCAUUGGAAACACAUUUUUCACAAACUGAUCCUUCUGACAUGCAUUCAGCACCCUGUAUGACUCACAAGUAGCACAACACAUUCAUUUUCAAAUAAACUUAAAGGUUAACUCAAAUUCAUUGCGCAACAUUAUUCGGCAGUGAACUUUUUUUCAAUGCCAAGAAUAAUUCAAGUCAGGAUAAAUAACAUUUUUCAAGAUCUAAAAGUGAAACACUUUCAGUACUCUGAAUUUCACUGAAGCCCAAUAGUUCAUUAGCAGCAGGUACAGAUUGAACUUGUGAAAUAUUUAUUUGUCGACAUUAGGCAAAGUUAAUGGUUGCACGGGUUAAAUAUACUUUUCUGUGUUUAAGAUUUCGGGGGAAUAACUGCCCUUCAAGCCAGUAGAGAGGUGUUUAAUAAUACACUGCACUUCCCCUUUCUAUAGGGAAGGUUCACAGCAUGUUGUACUUCAAAAUCCAAUAUUUUACAGAUAUAGGAAAGGAACAGAAAUUACAUUACAUGUCAUUUAGCUGACGCUUUUAUCCAAAGCGACUUACAUUACAUUUUUAAUCCGUGGCUUUUUACAUUUUUGCCGGGGGAGCAAUUAGGGGUUAGUUGUCUUGCUCAGGGACACUUCGACAUGGAACAUGGGGCAGCCAGGACUCGAACCACCAACCUUGUGCUUCCCCAGCACACCCUCUCUACCCCCUGCGCCACGACGACCCCCAGAAAUGGAGGCUGCAUGUCUAAAAACAUUGUGAAAGUAUUUUGAUGGAAACUCCAUGUUAAAUCCAGACAGCGCCUAAUUCAUUCAUUCAUUUAGUUGGCCACAAAGACCCCUCAUUAAAAGGCAUGCCAGGGUCUCUUACGUGCCUCCCCUCUGUAGCACUGCCAAGCAGUGACACUGUUCGUCCUUGUGUUGAGCUGUUACUUAAUUUGUCUUGAACUAGAUUAAUAAAAUGACUGUGUUGGCCAUUCAAAUCACCGGCGUUUGCCAAGACACGCUUCUGUUGAUGGAGGUUGAAAAGGUGAAAAUACUUCUAACUACUAAUUUAAUUCAAACAAUUUAACUCUUCAGUUGAUGCAUUUUAAAUGCUUGCUUUUCUCUUCCCAUACAAACUUUUAAAAAUGAUCAUGAAUUAGAAAAUAGCCCAACUACCCCUGAGCCAAUCGGAAAUCUCCAUCCAUUCUUAUGAAUAUGGGUUCAAAUUGACAUGUAUGAAUCAAAAUGCCUAUACUAUACGAUUAUACAUUUUGUACUCUACUUUCUGGAUGAUGAAGAAACAACAUAAUCUUGUGUAGAGCUCAUCAUCUUUGGAGCUCUAAACAGACAAAUGCUGUGAGUUAUUUCUGUCACGGUGUGGUUCACUUCAUGUUAUAUUUUGUAGUUUUCUGCCACUCGUGUCCCCGGGUAACUUCACUUCCUGCCUUGUCCCGUCAUCCCCUGUGAUCGUCUUAAUUGUUUCCACCUGUGUCCAAUCACCUGCACCUCCCCUAGUGUAUUUAAACCAUGUGUGUCUGUUGUCACUUGUCGCGUCAUUGUCUAUCGCCACGCUUGUUCUUGUCUAUCGUCAUGGAUGUCUGCAGUUUCUUGCCUGUGAGUUUUUCCUGUAGUUUUUGGCCUUUUGACUAAUAAAGUCUUUUGUUUUUCGGAGAAGUCUGCAUUUGAGUCCUGCCUUCCACCCGCACCCUUGACAAUUUCAGUCUUUUACAUGGAUCAGUUUAAGGUUAUCUGAAGUUUGGUCAAAAUAUGUUGACAUAUUUCACAACGUAACUGCACAUCUGAACUGCUAGAACAAAAAGCUUGGCGGAUUUAUAAAGAAUAAAACUCCUAACCUAGGAACAGUAUAUAGGAGGGCGGUUAUCAUUUAUUCCAGUAGUAAGGAAUGUUUAACUCUGGCACAAAAUCUAGCUUCUACCUCCAGAACGCAUGUUUUCCAGACUGGGAAGGCCUGUGCAGAGGAAGGCCGAAAACCACACCUGGUUCUAGGUACGACAGCUAGUGUGCUGCUUUAGUGAGCAGUGUACUAUUGUGUAACAGUCAGUCAGGUUGUUAAUGGAUAAUUAACAAUAAGCUGCUGCUGGCGGACUGCAAUUCCAGUGUGUGACUGACAGAUGCCUGUUCCGAGUGAGUGCUGCACACUCACAGAUUUGGAUGAAAAUGGGGCAAAAGUAGAAGGGAAGGUCGCCAGCAGAUGUUUUGUAAGCGAUUCAAUGUUGCUUAUAGAACAAGUUGCUGUCGUCCUCGAUGCAGCUGGUUUAACUCUACUCAUUAAAAUCAUGUUUCGAGGCACACACGCUACAGUGGCCUGCGUAGAAUGCUUCCUCCAGAUAUUUAUCAUUGGCAUGAGCGUGAGCGUGAGUCUUGCCACACUACGGACCUCUGUGUUUUUAAUCUGCAAUUAAACAAUGGAAGUGUUUUUUCCAUAUGUCUUGACUCCAUUUAUCUGAAGGCUAACUUGUGUGUGCGUAUCGCUUAAGUUUACAUUGCAGCAAAACCUUAAUCCUUUCUUGCAUUUAAAUAUAUUUGUUUUUGUAUUUGAAUUUUGUGUUCAGUCAGAUUUAAUUUCAUUCAUAUUAUCGAAGAAAUGCUUCAUGUGAGUAGAACACGUCUUAAAGAGAAGCUGUUUAGUGGCUUUGUUGUAGCUUAAACAGGGUAAUUUGACUCAUCAGACAAUUAAAUCCAGCCGCUUCAUUAGCAUGAGCAUUUUGUCUGAAAGACAAAGAGAAUGUGGAUACAUUUAACGUUUUGAUAAAUGUUAUCCAAGCACUGAGCGCUGGCAGAUCUGCCCUUCGGUUAAUCAUUUUUAAGUAUAAUUUCUUUAAAUACUAGCUUUUGAGGACAGGUUUACCUUUUCUGAUUUAUACAUGUGUAUUUACAGAAAACGAUAAAGACGGAAAGUGAUAAAGAGGUUGUGUGUGUGUGUAUAUAUAGACAUACUGUGUAUAUAUAUAUAUAUAUAUAUAUAUAUACAUACUGUGUAUUUAUAUAUAGACAUACUGUAUAUAUAUAUAUA